AUGUAACGUAGAUUAUGAAUACGUACUAGAAAACAAGCCCUUAAAAACCAUAUAUACAAUAUUAUUAUAAAAUGAUGAAUAUUUUCCUUUUUUGAUUUCAGAAGAAAAUGUCCCAUCAAAUGUGAGCAGCUGAUUUGCUUAGACAAGCAGCUUAAACUGGUAGUGAGUAGAGAACUCAACUAAUCCACCAAUGAAUUCAGAUGAUUGUGAAAUGUCGGUCCAAGCUGUAGUAAGGAAUGUUCCAUAUGCCAGAUCUAGAUCAGGAAACAGCUACAUGGUACCCAGAGCUACAAAACAAUGAGGCCAGUCUGUUACAGUGUGUUGAUGAAACGUCCAAAAUGGUGUAUGAAGAGUGCAUGGACCAAAACUGCUAUUCCACUAUUACAGCUGAGGGACCUCAUUAAAAUUUGUUCAUAGUGAGGUGAUCUGUGGCUGAUUAUCUCCCUUACAUUGUUUGAUGGCGGGAUCCAUGGAGAUGUCCAGAAAAUGACCAACAUGCUGUUUGAAACUUUAAAAAAAAAUUCUGCUGCUCAGACGUUCUUCUCGGUCAGGUAAUCUGCCCUGUUCAGUCGAUAGAGCUUUCCAUUACUCCUAGAAUUUUGCACAGCAGGUUCAUUUUCCCCAUCAUGCUCAGCAGGUUGGUCCCAUCUUCUUUAAGACCCCCCAAUCUGCUCAGAGGGUUCAGGAAAGUAACUUUCUUCUUGGUGGAUGAGGCUGGAAUAGGGAAGGGAGCUAAAUCUGUUGUCAGCAUGGUCCAUCACUAUUUUCAGCAUCAUGCAUGGACAUGGAGAAAGGAUUGCGAACAUCCAUUUUGAUAACUGGACAGAAGUUAUUAGUCUGCCUAUUGUCGUUCAAUACUACAUGAUGAUCGCUGGUCACACAAAGUUUGAUCCUGACUGGCAUUUUGGUGUGUGGAAAUUGCGCUGGAGAUCCAGUAAUGUUGAAACUCUAGAGGAGGUUGCCAAGACAGUUACACACUCAUCACGUAAUGGACAUAACAUUCCACAGUUGGUGAAAGAUGAAGACAAACCCAUUAUAUUUAGAGACUGGAAGUCAUAGGUAAAGCAGUACUUCAAGCCCCUGAAGAAUCUCACAAAAUAUCACCAUUUUCCUCUUGACGCUACUAAGCCUGGGACAGUGUUACUUGACGACUCUCCCACAGUGUCUGUCAACCUGCUGAAGAGAAAAGACUUCCUUCCGUCUGUAGAUGAUGAACCAGAAGACAUGAUGUCAGCAGGACUGGAUCCAUCAAGACAGUGGUAUUUGUAUGACAACAUCAGGGAAUAUUGUAAGACAGAAAGCUCACAGAACAUUACCUGUCCUAAACCCACUGUACAGAAAUCAGAAGUGGACCUAGUACAAGAAAAUGUCAAAGCACCAUGUCUUCCAUGUAAACGAAAAGGUUUACUGUUGAGAUGAUGUUGAUGAUUGCUCCCUUAGUAUAUACCUACAUGAUCUUGAUGCAAGCAGCCUGUAUAUGUAUGUCUAAAAGUUUGACAACCAAAGAAUGUUUUAUAUAGUUGUUAUUGAAUUGUUUCCCUUUAUGGUAUAAAAUGUAUUUAGAUGAAGGCUGCUUUUUUUAUGAGUGUAUGAAUUGAACUUUGAAAAUAAACUGUUUUUUGUUAGUUCAAAUAAUUACAAAAUGUAAUUGACCCUUAAAGAGAUGUAAAUGUAUUGAUGCUGUUAUUAAGUGUGAUGAAUUGUUAUACACUUAAGUUCAAUGACAUCAGGUAUGUUAAAUGAAUUUUCUCUGUAAUGGUAAGGCAUAGACCAGUAAUAUUUUGGAUUUACAUAUUUCACAAUAUAGGCUUUCAGAAAAUGUGAUCAAUUCAAUUGAUGAUUUAUCCUCAUCUCAUGGUCACAUAUUAGACAGCAUGCGACAGUGUGCCAACUUCCCAGAUACUAAAUGUUUGAGUAUUAACUACGACUUUGGGACGAGUGGCCACUGUGAGGUGUUGGAGGCUAUAGAAGACCACGACCACUUCGUGUCACAGCCAACUGGCAUGGAAUGGUACAUGAUGACAA